rnacentral:misc_RNA from 1 species
ACAGACAAGUUGCCACAUCAAAUUCAAAAUCACACAAACCUUCUUUGGCAUUAGACAUUUACUACAUAUAAAAUCUAACAAGGUCUAAUUAAAAAAUAAUAGUAACGAUAUACUUAUAAUAAUUCUAACAUACACAAACUUGUCAUUAAUAAAGGAAGAAAGACCAUGUGAAAAAAAUAGUAAGUGAAAACCAGUCAAACCAUCAGGUACACUGCAAUCAUUUGGAAACCAAAAGGAUCUCCGGCUUUUUAGCUUUACUAGGUGUGUUAACAUUUGACAUAACGGUUACUGCAGCAGCUAUCUUAGCUGUCUCACGACCUUUCUUGUCAAGCUGAAUCAAACUCCUAGUUGCCAAAAUUGCCUGCGGAUUCAACUCAUGUGAAGCCCUUGCAUACAUCCGUUUCACUGCAAUCAUUUGGAAACCAAAAGGAUCUCCGGCUUUUUAGCUUUACUAGGUGUGUUAACAUUUGACAUAACGGUUACUGCAGCAGCUAUCUUAGCUGUCUCACGACCUUUCUUGUCAAGCUGAAUCAAACUCCUAGUUGCCAAAAUUGCCUGCGGAUU